rnacentral:rRNA from 1 species
CGCUGGCGGCGCGCUUAACACAUGCAAGUCGCACGAGAAAGGGAGCAAUCCUAAGUAAAGUGGCGCACGGGUGAGUAACACGUGGAUCAUCUACCUUUUAGUGGGGAAUACCUCUGGGAAACCGGAGACAAUACCGCAUAAGCCCGCAAGGGGAAAGCAGCAAUGCGCUGAAAGAGGAGUCCGCGGCCGAUUAGCUAGUUGGCGGGGUAAUGGCCCACCAAGGCGAAGAUCGGUAGCCGGCCUGAGAGGGCACACGGCCACACUGGCACUGAAACACGGGCCAGACUCCUACGGGAGGCAGCAGUGGGGAAUCUUGCACAAUGGGCGAAAGCCUGAUGCAGCGACGCCGCGUGAGCGAUGAAGCCCUUCGGGGUGUAAAGCUCUUUCGACGGGAACGAUAAUGACGGUACCCGGAGAAGAAGCUGCGGCUAACUACGUGCCAGCAGCCGCGGUAAUACGUAGGCAGCGAGCGUUGUUCGGAAUUACUGGGCGUAAAGAGUGUGUAGGCGGUGUUCCCAGUCUGUUGUGAAAUCUCCCGGCUUAACUGGGAGGGUGCAGCGGAAACUAGAAUGCUAGAGGGUGGGAGAGGUAAGCGGAAUUCCUGGUGUAGCGGUAAAAUGCGUAGAUAUCAGGAGGAACACCUGUGGUGUAGACAGCUUACUGGACCACUUCUGACGCUGAGACACGAAAGCGUGGGUAGCAAACAGGAUUAGAUACCCUGGUAGUCCACGCCCUAAACGAUGCAUACUUGGUGUGAGCGAUUCAUUUCGUUCGUGCCGGAGCUAACGCGUUAAGUAUGCCGCCUGGGGAGUACGGUCGCAAGGCUGAAACUCAAAGGAAUUGACGGGGGCCCGCACAAGCGGUGGAGCAUGUGGUUCAAUUCGACGCAACGCGAAGAACCUUACCUGGGCUCGAAAUGCUAUGGACAGUCUGUGAAAGCAGAUCUUCUCGCAAGAGACCGUAGUAUAGGUGCUGCAUGGCUGUCGUCAGCUCGUGUCGUGAGAUGUUGGGUUAAGUCCCGCAACGAGCGCAACCCUUGUCCUGUGUUGCCACUCCCGUAAGGGAAGCACUCUCAGGAGACCGCCAGCGAUAAGUUGGAGGAAGGUGGGGGUGAUGUCAAGUCAUCAUGGCCUUUAUGUCCAGGGCUACACACGUGCUACAAUGGACGGUACAAAGCGCUGCAAACCCGCGAGGGGGAGCCAAUCGCAAAAAACCGUACUCAGUUCGGAUCGCAGGCUGCAACUCGCCUGCGUGAAGCUGGAAUCGCUAGUAAUGGCGUAUCAGAACGAUGCCGUGAAUACGUUCCCGGGCCUUGUACACACCGCCCGUCACAUCACGAAGGUGGAUUGUACUAGAAGUCCUAAUCAAACAGGCCCAAGGUAUGAUUCAUGAUUGGGGUGAAGUCGGAACAAGGUA